rnacentral:misc_RNA from 1 species
GAUGAAGAACGCAGCGAAAUGCGAUACGUAAUGUGAAUUGCAGAAUUCAGUGAAUCAUCGAAUCUUUGAACGCAUAUUGCGCUCUCUGGUAUUCCGGAGAGCAUGCUUGUUUGAGUAUCAGUAAACACCUCAACUUCCAUAUCUUUUUUGAAAUGGGAGUUGGACUUGAGUGAUCCCAACGCUUUUCCUCACCGAAAAGUGGCGGGUUACUUGAAAUGCAGGUGCAGCUGGACUUUUCUCUGAGCUAUAAGCAUAUCUAUUUAGUCUGCCUAAAAAACAGAUUAUUACCUUUGCUGCAGCUAACAUAAAGGAGAUUAGUUCUUGUGCUGACUGAUGCAGGAUUCACAAAGACAGGCUUCGGCCGACUUUGUAAACUCGAUCUCAAAUCAAGUAAGACUACCCGCUGAACUUAAGCAUAUCAAAAGCGGAGGA